GACGUAGGGCGCGAGCGUUGUCCGGAUUUAUUGGGCGUAAAGAGCUCGUAGGCGGCUUGUCGCGUCAACUGUGAAAACCCGUGGCUCAACCAUGUGGUCUGCAGUCGAUACGGGCAGGCUAGAAUUCGGUAGGGGAGACUGGAAUUCCUGGUGUAGCGGUGAAAUGCGUAGAUAUCUGGAGGAACACCGGUGGCGAAGGCGGCAUCCUGGACCGACACUGACGCUGAGGAGCGAAAGCCAGGGGAGCAAACGGG
rnacentral:rRNA from 1 species